rnacentral:rRNA from 1 species
UACAGAGGGUGCAAGCGUUGUUCGGAAUUACUGGGCGUAAAGCGCGUGUAGGCGGCGGCGUAAGUCGAAUGUGAAAGCCCUUGGCUUAACCAAGGAAGUGCAUUCGAUACUGCGUCGCUUGAGUGCCGGAGGGGAUGGCGGAAUUCCUGGUGUAGAGGUGAAAUUCGUAGAUAUCAGGAGGAACACCGGUGGCGAAGGCGGGUCUCUGGGCAGUAACUGACGCUGAGAAGCGAAAGCGUGGGUAGCGAACAGG